GUGGCUGUAGUGUAAUCUGGUUAACAUACAGGACUGUGGAUCCUGCGAUUGCGGGUUCAAAUCCCGCCAGCCACC
rnacentral:tRNA from 1 species